rnacentral:rRNA from 1 species
CCUACGGGUGGCUGCAGUGGGGAAUAUUGCACAAUGGGCGCAAGCCUGAUGCAGCCAUGCCGCGUGUGUGAAGAAGGCCUUCGGGUUGUAAAGCACUUUCAGCGGGGAGGAAGGCGGUGAGGUUAAUAACCUCAUCGAUUGACGUUACCCGCAGAAGAAGCACCGGCUAACUCCGUGCCAGCAGCCGCGGUAAUACGGAGGGUGCAAGCGUUAAUCGGAAUUACUGGGCGUAAAGCGCACGCAGGCGGUCUGUCAAGUCGGAUGUGAAAUCCCCGGGCUCAACUUGGGAACUGCAUUCGAAACUGGCAGGCUAGAGUCUUGUAGAGGGGGGUAGAAUUCCAGGUGUAGCGGUGAAAUGCGUAGAGAUCUGGGGGAAUACCGGUGGCGAAGGCAGCCCCCUGGACAAAGACUGACGCUCAGGUGCGAAAGCGUGGGGAGCAAACAGGAUUAGAUACCCCUGUAGUC